rnacentral:sRNA from 1 species
AUGUACCACUCGUACACUCCGGUUCCUGCGCGCCGUCCGCGCCC